rnacentral:rRNA from 1 species
AUUGAACGCUGGCGGCAGGCCUAACACAUGCUAGUCGCACGAGUGGCGGACGGGUGAGUAAUGUCUGGGAAACUGCCUGAUGGCGGGGGAUAACUACUGGAAACGGUAUCUAAUACCGCAUACCAUCAGAUGUGCCCAGAUGGGAUUAGCUUGUUGGUGGGGGAAUGGCUCACAAAGGCGACGAUCCCUAACUGGUCUGAGAGGAUGACCAGGCACACUGGAACUGAGGCACGGGCCAGACGCCUACGGUAGGCAGCAGUGGGGAAUAUUGCACAAUGGGCGCAAGCCUGAUGCAGCCAUGCCGCGUGUAUGAAGAAGGCCUUCGGGUUGUAAAGUACUUUCAGCGGGGAGGCGUUACCCGCAGAAGAAGCACCGGCUAACUCCGUGCCAGCAGCCGCGGUAAUUC